UCCUGUCUCAGAUAACUCUAUGCCUCGGUGCUAAGGCACACCUCCCUAAAAUCCACACCUUUGUCUCUUCCAGACUUUUUCUUUAAAAAAAAAAAAUAUUUUUCCUUUAGGUUCUGUGACCUGAUCAAGGGUUAAAGAGGAUCCCAUAACCCACACCAUACUAGAGGAUCUGGCGACCUAGCGAACGAGGCCCGGGGGUCCCGCAAGCAUUGCCGUCUCUCUGGGGGUCCCCUCAUGACUCCGUCCUUACCUACGUAACCCUGGACCAAGGCUGGAAUCUCCACCGCCUCAUUAUCACCCUCGGCCUUGAUUUUGAUAUCGAGAAACCAUGGCGUGAUUUCAAGGCUAAACUGAUCCAAACCGGGGCCUUCACAUGUUUUUGGACAGAGUUCUUUGUGAAGGUUAUUUUUGUCAUGAGAAUGAUUAAUGUCAUGUGUUGGCCACGGAGAGACUAGUGUACCCCUGUGGGAGGAACUUGGCAGAGAAAUGGAGCAGAGCCCAAGUUAAUUUUAGAAAUCUUCAAUGUUGCAGGGGGCGACAAGGGAAACUCGGUUCUGCCAAGGAUGAACUAACUACCUGAGAACAUUAACCCCCAAAGGAAAACUUUUGCAUCUGGCCUCUCUCCUUCUUUGUUCCUUGUUCCUCAGUAACAGGAAGCCUGCCCUUCAGCAUGUCCGCCCACCGCAUGCUCACUGCUCCGCCUUCCUCUGUUGAGGAUGAUGGAACAGAUGGGCUCCUUCAAUGACAGAGAAAGUGAGUGAAUUACUGAAGUAUUGAGAUGGUUUGUGUAUGCUUGGCCCAGGGCGUGGUACUAUUAGGAGGUGUGGCCUCGUUGGAGGAAGUGCGUCACUGUGGGUGUGGGCUAGCUGCCUGGAAGUCAGUAUUCUGUUAGCAACCUUCAGAUGAAGAUGUAGAACUCUCAGCUCUAUCUGCACCAUGCCUGCCUGGAUGCUGCCAUGUUGAUACCUUGAUGAUAAAGGACUGAACCUCUGAACCUAAAACCAGUGUCACACAGAGCAACUGUUCAAUUAGUGACAAAGAAAUGGGAAGAUAAGCCCACGAAAUGCAAAUAAAAUAUAAAGAAUAAAAGCAGAAACUAAUGGAAGACAUGCCCAUAAAAUGAAUAAAAAUGAUAAGACUUGCAAUCGAAGUAUCUUUUUCCUAAAGAAGAUCACUAAAACAGAUGGAUUCUGAGCUGUUUAAAGCUAAAACAUGCCACAAAUCACGUCGUGAAGGAGCAAAGAGAAAACUAUAGACCCUGAAGAGCUGAAGCUUGAAGGAGUAUGUCCUGCUUUUACCGAGGUAGAACCAUGCUGUAAAUGAAGCUCAUGGUGUUCUGUGAAAAUAGAGAAGGAACCCUGACUCCAGAAGAUCUGUUCAACUGGGAAAGAUAAAUAAUCAAGAAAGGCAAAGCAAUUGGGAGAGACCCACCAUCCACUCCUCUGUGGGAAAGUUCAAGGUCAUUUUCUUGAAAAGUUCUAGCAUAUGUUUUUGUAGUAGUAGUAGUAAUAGUUGUUGUUGUUGUUGUUAUAUAAAUCCUCAGAGCAUAGAAAACUACAGAGAAUUUUUCAUCUUUUUUCUUUAUUUUUGAGACGGGGUCUCAUUGCAUAUCCCAGGUUGGCCUGGAGCCCAAGCAAGUCUCACAUCUUAUAUUGAUAAUGUUCCUGCCUCUGCCUCCAGGUACAAUAAUUACAAGCACAUACUACC